rnacentral:lncRNA from 1 species
CAAAAUUGGGCAAAAGACACAAUUUGGUAUGUUGCAGCAGAGUGGUGUCAUGCUCGGACUGGAGCAGCAAAAGGUCAAGCUAGCUAGUUAGCAACACCAGGCGGCAUGGUUCAUUCCCAUCACAGUAAUCUAACUGGUCAAAUUAUGAAACAAAAGUCAGAUUAUGGUACAUAUAGUUUAAUAGAAAUUGAUGAUGGUGGAGUCCAUCGGUGCACUGUAAGGGUCGGGUGGGUGCCGACACAUAGGCAAUUGUCAAGUGAAGAUAGAUCAACCCAAAGGAUCCAAAGAGGAAGAGAGAGAAAGGCAAGAACCUUUAACUGGGCCCACCGAUACACAAGGGAGAGAGAAAGGCAGGGAACGACGAUCGACGUCCGCUUAAAUCACAUGAAGAGAGAGAAAUAGAGAAAAAGAAGAGAGGGAAAUGAGGGAAAAUAGGGCCGGUGAUGAACUAGUCCCUUAUCGGGAGCAAAGGAGCUACUGUCAGCUCUGGCAAGCAUCUAUGGUGUGGCGAGGAGCCGACGAUCGUCGAUGGCAGUAGAUGACGGCAAACGACCAGCAAUAUAAGUAAGACAUGAGAAAAGAAAAACAAGAUAGGGCUUAACGUCAAAUCGAGCAUCAUUUUACUUAUUGUCAGCUGGAGCUUCAGCGUCAGCUGGAGGCCAUUGAGAAGGGAGGGAUGGCCGGAGAAGACAACGACGCUAAUUGACUUCAAAACAAGGGAGAAAAGGCUCGUGGGAACCAAAACAAGGGAGGUGGGAGUCCUGGUAACAUCCCGACAAUUCUCAAAGAAAGCUAGCUGGCAGCAACUUCAUAUGGAAGGGGG